rnacentral:lncRNA from 1 species
AAUGGCGGUAUCUGGCUGCUUGGAGUGGUGAAUCAUGUUUCAACUGCAGAUACUGGAACUUGUAGAAUGCAGCAGGGGAUGAUGGCGGGGUGGUGGAUACUAUCAUGAGGAGUAGAUACUUCGUGCACAGUACUACAUUAUAAAUAACCUCUACAUUGGUGAAGAAGGAAGAAAAAAAAAAAAAAGGUUUAAGUGAUGAUGGUAAAUACUUUAUUGAAUGUUGUUUAAAGAUGGUGGGCAAAGGAAACAGAGCUUCACUGGCCUCUGAUUCAUAUUCAUAUUGUAAUUGGUGACUAUUACGAAGCAAAAUUACAGCUGCAAGCUGCAAAGCCAAUCUUCGAAGUUUCCAUGUGUUUCAAACAUGGGGCAAUCUGCCACAGACGGCAUUUGUCUAUCUGGGAGAUAUUACUAGAAGUAGUGUCUGUCGAGUCGUAUUCUUUCUUCCCGUUAUUUCUGAUAGUGGAGUUUCUUAUCUGUGAUCCGUGUGCUUAGAGACCACCACAGUUUGUUUGACCUAUGCAUGCACAUAAAAAGGCUUUGCAGUCUCAAUAAAUCAGUGUUACUAUAAUGAUGUCCAUACUUUGUACAAUCCACUGUGUAGCUGUUUAUCACAUAUGAAUUUGGAACUGUGAUCUGAGCUUUUUGUCUUCAGUGGUUUGUUCAAGUUUAGUAUUUAGGAAGCUUCUUCUUCAGAAAUUACUGCAAGAACACUGUGAUGUGGUUUUAUGUAUGUAGGUUAUAUGCACACAGUCAUACAUGUUUUGCUCUUACAGGAUAUACAAGAGUCUCUUUGCUGUAUGAAAAACUAAUAUGAUUUUUAUGUAUGUACUUUCCAUUCAAUACAGCAAAAGAUGCAUGUCAUGCAGAUGCUUUUCAUAUACAGUACAUUCCGCUAUCAGUGAACUGUGCUUUUAUGCAAUAAAAUGCUGGUCACCUGUUC